AGUCAGCCACACUCUGCUGAGACAUUCAUCCGGCCAGUCAGCAGAAGAGCUCAUGAAGAAGAGGGCCAGGAUGGCUGGCCCACAGGGACAGGCACAGCGUGAUACUAUGGAGGUGUCCAGGUACCAAACCUGUGCAGGUGGGUAGGGUGCCUGACCUGUGAGAACUGCCAAGUGACCCUGGAAAGUAUCACAGAGACUGCAGCGGGCUGUCCCUUCCCUGGCCUGAAGGCGGACUUCUCAGAGAGUACCUGCCUACGCCCUCACAGCUGGUACACACCUAUGCUGUUUUGUCUGAGAUGGCUGGCCAGCUAUGCUCCACAGCCCUGGGAGGGACUUGGGAAAGAUUGGCCACUAAGGCUCACCAAGAACAUGUCUGUGGGUAUACUCUGAAAGGCUCAUCUAGGCUCCAGAGCCUCUACCCACCUGACCCUGGAAUCUGAGGCUGGGAAGAUGUGCUGUGACCGGAGGCUUUACCCUCCUGCCACCGUGACGUCUCUGCUGUGACAGACUGCAACCAGGAGGUGUGAGCCAGAUAAGCCCUCUCUCCUCCAAGAUGCUUUCGUCCAAUUUGUUUAAAUCCCAGAAACAGAAAUGAAGCUAGGACACACGACAAGGCCUCUCGGAGCAGCCGAGGAGACACAGAGAACUGAGCCCCUUCGUUCAAACAGCUCUGGCACAAAUGUCAACCAGCGUCUGAGGAGUGCUCAGGAGGCAUGCUCAAGACUGACCUGACAACAGGUCCACAAGCCCCCAGAUAUCCUUAAAUCACACUGCAAACAGCCCUGAGGAUGAGGACAUGGGGUGGCUUCUGUUACUGGCUCUCAUGCCCAUCCUUAGCUUGGGUCCUUGGGCAAAAACUCCUCUUGCUUGGGGGUGAGCAGUCAGCCCUGGGGCAAUAGCAACAGACAUAGACACUGAGGGCUUUAGUUCGCUCAUGGUCAACAGCUCAUGGGGGUUGUGACUAGCUGGUCCCUCAGUUACAACUGCAGUGGACUGACUGGUGUGUCUGGAGCUCUGACAGCACUGUGCUUCAAGCAUGGACCGACAGGAACCCAGGUGAGUCCAUCUGAAGCAGAUGGGGGUGGAGUGCAAAUGACCCCAAGAGACAGUCCCCUCACCAAACCUGUGCUGGUCACCUUCCCAUCCCACAAUCUUUCUUCUGGUACAGACACAGUUUUGUUUGAAGAGGGUGGGUGAAACAACACUUGCUAGGUGACUAACCAAGUUGGUCACUAGCUGCACAGAGGGCUUCUGGGAGGAGGUAGCAAGCUGAAAAAGGAGGGGCUAGAUUGCUUGCCAGGGUAGAGACAUCAGGACCACAAGCUGACACUAAAAAGCAAGCAGCAGCUGGCCUUUCCGGAUACAGGGACAUGACAGAGCACAGGCAUUUUGAACUCUGCAUAGGCCAAACUCUGGAGGCACCCUCCCAAAGAGUUCACACAACCCGAGGUAUCACCAGGCUCCCAUCUCCCCUCUUGCAGCAAGUUCAGACUGUGGCCAACCAUCCAGCCCAUGGAGAUUUAUGGCUCCAUUUGGCGUCUCUGUGUUCCACCUUAUCGCAAACCACUUAUCAAGUGCUCCAGCUCAGACAACAGCAAAGAAUUAAUCCCCUCUCUAAGGGAUGAGACGCCUCAUUUCCGAGGCUCUGAUCUGUGGGCUUUCAUCUUCGAAGGCCAUUUGUCACCUCCCACCCACACCUGCACAGUGAAGGCUGGCUAGAGACAAGCCACAGGCUACUUAAGGCAGUCACAAGGACUUAUAGCUUGUUAGUUAGACCCACAGCCUGUGGUCUGGGUAUGGGGCCCCAGGCUAACAACCCCACUCUGGAGGGCUAAGGAAGUAGCAUGAAUCCAGCCUGCACUAUAUAGCAAGCCCUGCCUAAGAAACCAAGCGAACAGGGCUGGAGGUUAAGCACUUGCUCUUGCAGAGGACCCAGGUUCAGUUUCUAGCAGCCCACCUUAGACAGUUCUGAGGGACCCAACACCCACUUCUGACCUUCAAGGGCACAUAUAGAUAUUUGGGCACACAGAGAGACAAGCAGGUGCACACAUAGACGAGGAGGCACAUGCACAUUCAAUAAUAAAAUAUUAAAAAAGCAAGCAAGCAAGCAAGCAAGCAAGCAAACAAACAAACAAACCUAACAGAAGUCUGUGGCCUGAAGAUCUGUUCUUAUGCAGCUUUCUAAAACAUUCUAGAAUCAUCUGUCUUUUGUGUCCUUUGUUUGGGAGAUGGAUCUUGCCAUGUACCUCUAAGUGAGAACUUGGAAGUUGGAAGUGAGAACAGUUCAUUUUAACUAAGACUUUUAUGUGUAUGGAGUGGGGCAUUUUGGAUUUGUGGACAAAUUGCUGAGGAAGAGUCAAGUCCCCACCUCUGGCUCCCCUCCUACUCCAAGGAGUCUUAUAUUGCUAAUGUCUUUUCCUAAUGUGGGACACAUGUGGCUUUUAAGAAACUAACAGGGAAACAUUUUAUUUACCAAGUAUCAAUUCACAACAUGGCUCAGUCUGGGUGCUCAGCCUCUGGGCUGCAGCAAAGGUCACAUGUCCCAUGUCCACCAUCACACUACCACAGGUAUGCUGUCACCCUGGCCACAUGUCCUCUGCCUCACCCACAAUCACUGACCCCUGCAUGUCUCCACCAUUUUGCCUUCUCCAGAGUGUCACAGAGCUGGAAUCACACUGCAUGCUGCCUUUCCAGUCUCCCUUCUUUUGCUUGGCCAUAUUCACAGUUUUUCUGUCUUCUGUGGCUCCACAGCUCAUUUCACAUUGCUGCCCAUUGAUUCUCCACUGUCUGGAGAUGUGGCCUGUCUGCCCAUCCCCCACAGGACUUGAUGCUUGCAUCUGGCUUUGGGCAUUUCUGAUCAGAGCUGCUGUAUGCAUCCAGACAGCUUGGUCUUAAUUUUCCAAAGCCAUGGCAACCUGUGUCUUGACAUCACUGCUGUGACUUGGGCCCUGGUGGCUUCCAUGCUUCACAUGCUCACACUCACUGCACAGCAGUGUUGCAUGGAAGGGCUCCUCUGCUCAUUCACAUGUGCAUCAGCUUCUUGGAGCCCAGUCUAGAAGCUUGCCCUAUUCUAGAUGCCAGAGUCCAAGCCAUCACCUGGCCUCGAUACAAAUUAGGCAAAAUGAAGGUAAGUAAACAUAACAUACAGUGAGUUCCCAAGGAGAGCGCAAGCCCAGGCUGCUCACCCAGAAAUCUAAAAGGAGGACUAAGAUGACAGAGUUUCCCCAAGUCACCAUCUUUCUUUCUUUUAAAAAAAGAUUACCACCCCCCUAUGUCUUUGUGUGUAUGCAUGUGGGUGUAGUCCCUUCAGGGCCCAGAAGGGGGCGUCUAACCCCUGAAACUAGAAGUAUGGGUGGCUGUGAGCCACCUGAGGUGUAUACUGUGAAGAGAAGCAAGCACUCUCAUUGGCUGAGCUAUUUCUCCAACUCUUUACCUUCUACCCCUUUAUAGAAGUUUCCAGAAUCAUGCUUUGGAGAAGUAGUGAGAGAAAGAGCUAUGAUGAGAUAGGAGGCCCUGGAACAUCCCAUGGUUAGCUUUGCUGCUGAAGCUGAGAGGUGAAUGUGGGAUGGUAGCCUGGGGAGGCUGGCAGGGCAGGAGGGUGGCAGUGAAGUAUGGCGGGCAGGGAUAGGGCUGCAGUGCUCUGGGUUCCAGGAGCGGCUCUCUAGCAUUCUGGAGCUCCCAAGGCAGCAGAGGCCACCCUUGACCCCACAGCCAGGCUCUAUGCUGCCAUAGUUCCCAGGGGACCGAUCUGGGGCCUGAGUCACUGCUGCUGUUUGGACAUGCUCCCCUUUAAAAGGACAGCCUUUGGCAAAUGUAUUAAGCAGCAGUUGAGCAUAAAUGCCACCAGGAGCUCCACCAUCCAUCUUUUCAGCACACAAAUGCCACCAGGAGCUGGGGGAGGAGGGGAAACUGCAGAAGGGGCCCUAGGCCCACUCUCCCCAGCUGGCACAUGGCAAGGUGCCAGUGAUCCACCCAGGAGGUCUGGCUCUCCUGAGGAUUCUGAAACAGAUACGUCUUAUUCACCCAGGUCCCCAGGCUGCAGGCUUACUGGGACUCACUCAGCACCCACCCUCCAGGAAGGUGGAAGCACUUGCCCAUGUGGAAGCAGAAAGUUGGGGGUUCAUCAACUUUGUAACACAUGAUGGUAGUAACAUCUGUAGGGGUGCUCAAAGAGAAGGAGGAGUUGGCUUCCUCCCUGGUUAGAACCAGCCUGCCUGGGUUCAAAUUCCAAGUUUGCUACACCUCAGCUGGGCAGUCUUAGACAGAGUUACUUUCUCCAUGCCACAGUCUCUGCAUCUGUCACACAGGGACAUGAUCCAUGUCCCCCCCACCACCAAAAGCUAGGUAUCUGAAGCUUUGCAGGGAGGUAGAACUCAGCAUACACCUGGGCCCUGCCUCUUCAUGGUCCAAGGUUCUGCACAGCUAUGUUCUAUGCUCAGUACCAUGUAAGCCCACUCAACAUAGGCUGUGUACUGCUAUCCCUUGUGGGUGGUACAUGACCAACUGCAAAUGGGCUCUGAACUCAGGCAACACACCCGCCUCUUUAAAGGCUUUCAUCUAACAGGCUGGUUUUAGAAUAGUUUUAGGUAUACAGAAAAAUCAUGGAGGAAGUCCAGACUUCCCAUGUGCCAUGGUUUGAAAGUGAAAUGUUGCCCACUGGCUCAGGUGUUUGGAUGCUUGGCCUCCAACUGGAGGUGCUGUUCUGGAAAGUUCUAGAACCUUUAGGAAGUAGAGCCUAGCUGGAGGAUGUAUGUGGCUUGGAGUGGGUCUUGAGGUUUUAAACCCCACUUCUUGUCCAGUUUCUCCUUCCUGACUGUGGACACAACAUGACUGCUCCUCCUGCCUUCCCUGUCCUGAUGGACUGUAUUCCCCCAAGCUGUGAGCCAGAAUAAACCACUCUUCCC